UGUGGUGAAGAUCUGCAAGGGGACUGCUUCCAUAAAGUAAAGCUUCUUUCAAUUUGCAGCGUUACUGAGGGAGCAGGGACUCAGCUCAAGGCUCCUGUCUGGCUGUGGGUUCCUCACCUGGAGAUUCUGUGCCAUGUGUGAAGGACUCUGCAGACUGGACAAGUGCAGCAGAAGAGGAGCUAAACUUUCCAGCAAGGACCAGCUGGGCCAACAGUGACAAAGUAAGGGAACUGACUCCACAGUGAGGCCCGGCUGGAUCAGUGGCAGUGCUGAGCUGACUUCACAGGACCCUGGCCCAUCUAGUUGGUGGAAGCAGGUAAAACCAGAGAACUAGACAGGUAGCUGCACAUUGGAGUGGGACCAGAUUGAACAGACCAGUGGAGGAGAGCCACCCCUGGGAUCCUCUUGACUGCCAUUGAGACUAGCUUAACCAGUGAGUGGAGUUUUAUGUGGGUGGGGUGUGUGGUGAGAUAGAGUUCUGAACCUGCUUAAGCUGGAUGUUUAUGGUUUGGGACUAUCGAGUGGAUCAAACUUCUGACACACUGAUUUGGGUUGUUCGGGUUCUUCUUUGCAAAUAUAUACUGUUUUUUUCAUGCUUCUUUUGACUGUUUUUCCCUUUCCCCCCAAAAUAAAGACGAUAUUUGUGUAUCCAUGCCCCCCAAAGGACUCUUGAGUGCUUGCAAGUGGAGAACAACCACCUUCAAAGGCUGCAGCGAUAACUGGAAUCCACUGUGCACAUCAAGCAAUGAAGAAAUAAAGUCUGGGGAAAGAAAACAAUUGCAGGGAAUAAAAAUGUUUAAGAAUUAACUAGAGGCCUGUCUGCCCUUGAAAUGCUACUGCAGCACAGAGGCACCACUGCAGCUGCGUCUCUAUACUACUUCAAUGUAAACAAUGCCUAUGCCAAUGGGAGGGCUUCUCCCAUCAGUGUAGGUACUCCACCUCCCUGAAAGGGGGUAGCUAGGUUGGCAGAAUUCAUCUGUUGACCUAGCACUGCCUACACUGGGUUAGGUCAGUUUAACUGUGCUGCCAAGGGCGCUGGAACUGGGGGAGCCAGGGGACCAUGGCCUCCCACUUUUUGAAAGUAGAUGGGCCUGGCCCAUCCACUUUUCACCACAGGCCUCCUCUUCCCCCUGAGGACCCGCCCCCCCGGCCAGGCUGGCAGCUGGAUCCUGGGCAGGGAGCCCAGGCCGCCUGGGGCACCACGCCAUACCACGGAUCCUCCAGCUGCCCGGGGGGGCAAG